CAGGGCUCCUGGCUCCGCGGAGGGCAGGUCGCGGCCCAGCGCGUGCGCUCGGUUCCCCCCUCGCCGCCCCUUCCGCGGGCCGGAACGGCUCUCUGCUCACUUGCGCUCCUGGCAGCGCAUGCCGUCCCUUUGCACUGGGAGUGUGAGCCUGUCUUAAGAAACUGGCAGAAACUGGUCCUGCGGACGGACAAGAGCCAAGGAGCGACUGAGUCUGCGCGAAGGCAAGAGGUCAACUAGCGGUGACGAGGAAGAGUCGUCAACCUUCAUCCCCCCGACGACCACCACCAGGAGACACUGCGCAAGCGAAGAUGGGAGGAGUUUAUGGAAAUAACUCCUUGGAACCAAUUUUAAUAUGAAGCGGGGACAGGUUAUGAAUAGCUAUAGGCGUACUGUGAAACUUCAUGCGUACGUAACUCUUUGCUGCAUAGAACCAUGGCAAAUUGCUGCGUCACGUGCGCACGACCUUGGUGGGACUGCCCCCCGUGCUGCCCGGCGCUGAAUAAACAUACCUACUUUACCGUC